UUUCUUUCAGGAAAAGAACAAAAAAUAAAAUAUUUCUUAAGUAUCAUUACUCUCCCUCAGCAGAGUGCUGAGGCAGUGAGAGGGCAAAGCUGACUGCCCCUUCUGAUUUGUGUCAAAAUAGUUCGGUGUUGAGCCAGGCGUGGUGGUGAGCAUCGGUAGUCCCAGCUACUCAGGAGGCUGAGGUGGGAGGAUCACUUGAACCCAAGAGUUUGAGGAUGUAUGCUUUGAUCAUGCCUGUGAACUGCCACUGCAUUCCAUCCUGGGCAACAUAGUGAGACCCUGUCACUUAAACAUGUUGGUGCCUGUUGGCCUAUGUCUCCCACCCUUGGUCUGAACCUAGAGAAGGGUGGCCAGCUGGACCAGAGCAUACCCGGACCUUGCGUCCCCACUGAGCCAGCUGCUGUGACCUCAGGCUUUGAAAGCUCUAUGCCCUUGUUGGGCCCAUCCUCCAGACAGACCCCAACCCUGCUUCCCCGGGAGUGACAGGAAGCGCUGUUGUUCACAAAAUGGCAGCCUCAGGACACAAGCACUGCCUCUGGACUAGCUACAGGUAUGACACCAGGUUUCAAUUAAUGGUGGGGAUGGGGCUUCCCACUUGUAACCACAGUAAAUAAAGAACUCACAGCAUUUAAGUGCCUAAUCUCCCAUUCAUUAUUUCCAAUGUCCUGCAUGUAACAAACACAAUUUACAGAGGGAAAACUAAGGCCUAGAAAAGUGUGUGCAUGGCAUAGCAAUCAUAGAAGGUUAGUGACAGAACCCGAGCUACCUUUCACUAGUCACAUUCUCUCCACAACCUAGGAAGCCCCCAGAAAGUUCAGCAAUCCCUUGCUCUAGCUAGAUCUGGCUCUGUACUGGCAUCAGGCUUGCUUGGCUGCUGGGACAAGAGGCCUCCUGAAUAUUUCUAGCCAAAAGAUGAUGUCAGUCUGUUGAACUGCUUCUAGAAACUUCACUUACCACUUUUAACUCCAAAUAACAGAGAACCUGCCACUGAGAAGACUCUGAAGAAAUCAAAUGAGUACAUAAUUCUGUUUUCCACCCCAAGCCAUGGUUGUGUUCCCAUGAAAUUUAAGGUUUCUAAGAGCAAGAAAUGAAAGGCGGCAUGUCUAAAAGCACCUCCCCUCCCCAUCCCAGUGUUUGGUUUGACUGGUGCUCUGCUGGGGACCACAUGAGAGCAUAAGAGGCAAGUAGAGAAGGGUGGCACGUGGGAACUCAAGAGACAGCAGCUCCAUCAUAGCAGGGCCAAGAGCUACAGUCAGGGAUAAGCAUGGGGUACAGCUGGAAUGCCGGCUCAAAGCCGAGUGGCAUGGUAUCUCCCUAAAUGAUACUCACUGUCCACAAAGUCUUUGCACUCUUCCUUCAGCUCUAUGGUCUGCUGGGUAACCUCUGGGUCCAACACCCGCAGCUUGUUCAGUUCAUCAAAGUGCAGCCCUGCUUCACCCAGGAUGUCCUUGGCCAUAGCUGCAAAGAAAGCAGCCCAAUCCCUAAUCACUCCCCAGACACCUACGGAAAUUCCUGCUGCCAAGCCAGCCCCACUCCUACCGUUGGACACCAAUGCCAAAAAACCCAGAUGUUCCAAAAGCUCCCUGUUCCCUCUGCCACCACAUCACUGGGCCUCACCUGUUUCCCAUCCGGGUUCCCUAGAGGAGUUCUGCUCUGAAGGAGUGACAGUGGCAGUCAGGAGGAGGUGUGUCAUAGGAGCAAGGGUCAGGAAAGAAUAAAGUCCGCUUGCUUGUCACAGGCAUCGUUCAUUCCACACACAUUUCUUGAGUGCCUACUAUAUGCCAACACUACUAGAUGCUGGGGGUACAAAGAUGAAUGCAACGCGUUCCCCACCCUGGAAGAACACAUAGUUUAGCUGGGGGAAGGCAGACAUGGAAACUGAAAAGUCAUACUGUGUUAAAUGCUUGUUUAGAAACAUCAGUAAAGGGCUGGAAGAGGUCAGAGCCGUUCAUGAAGGAGUGACAGCUGAACUAAGUUGUGAGCCAUAAGUGAACUGACUUUAUAUAUCACCAGUUAUGUACCCAGAAGCACGAGAAGGCUUCUCAAAUACAUACACAUAAAGCAAAUAAGAAAUCUGCAUGAAUUAAAAAUUAUGGCUAAAAAAUACAAAGGAGUAAGAAUAUUACUCAAAACAUAUGCUACAGUAUAUUGUACACUCGCCUGAAUUGGGAAUCAAAGUUGGGUCAUUCUCUUUCUAGCAGAAAACACAAAAAGGAAUGAAGUAUCAGCAAGAACAUAUCAAGUCAGGAGGCCAGAGAUAGGUAUUCCAAAAAGAAAACAGCAUGGACAAAGGCCUGAAGUCACUGAAAGGACCAAUCCUGCCUAAGAAUGAAAGGAAAAAGCAUGGAGCUGGAAAGGUGGGCUACUGCCAGAGCAGGAAGACCCCGUAUGCCAAGCUAAGGAGUUUGGAUUUCUGUCUGUAGGUAGCAGAGAACUAACAAAGAUAUCUUCUCCCUUUCCAGGCCACCUUGCAUUUCUGAUCCAAAGGAUGCCUCAAUUCUGGAAAGGAAAUACUGAAAAGUCAUCCUCAUUCUGGCUCAAAAAAUUCCACACAUACACAAAAUUAAAACUGACAGCAUGUGACCUGUUUAAAAAGCGAGACAAUGCUAGUUACAUCUAGCAAUUGGCUGCUAUGCCAAUUCUAAAACCCAGGUGCUCUAAAGACUACCAUCACCUGGACCUGCACCAGCCCCUCCCCUCUGCCCCCAGUGUCCCCAGCCUCACCUGUUUCCCUUCUUCCUUAGAGAAGUCCUGUUCUGAAUGGGGUGAUUCUGUGGGUGUCUGUCCAGGUGCCACAGGAGGAGCAAUGGUUAGAAAAGAUUUAAGUCUCACUGUUUCCAGAACUUCUGGUUUUCAAGAGGACCAGAAAUCCAAUGUCUCAAUGUUGGUAUGUAUAUCAAAAAUUUAAAGUAAGGGGGAAAACCCACCAACACUGUGUGUGCCAACUAAAACAUAUCUAUGGGCUGUCUGUACACGACUCUGGUCUUUGGCCUCAAGGAAAUCCACUGAUGUAAGUGAGCUAGCAUCUUCAUUUUGAAGCAUUUUAAUCAUCUGAAGCUUCCUUAUAAUAGGGCUU